AGCGCAGGCGGGAAACUAAGCGGAUCUUAAAAGUGCGGGGCUCAACCCCGUGAGGGGGUCCGAACUGGUUUUCUUGAGUGCAGGAGAGGAAAGCGGAAUUCCCAGUGUAGCGGUGAAAUGCGUAGAUAUUGGGAAGAACACCAGUGGCGAAGGCGGCUUUCUGGACUGUAACUGACGCUGAGGCUCGAAAGCUAGGGUAGCGAAC
rnacentral:rRNA from 1 species